GGGUUUUCCAUGUAAAUGGUAAACAACCCUUCAGUGCCUUCCGGUCAGUCACUCUAAAUGGAAAGCGCAUAAUCCGAAUGGAAUUUUCUAUCCGAAAUUUCGCUUACCAUUAGCACAAUUUCAAAUCGGAUGGGUUUUCCAUGUAAAUGGUAAACAACCCUUCAGUGCCUUCCGGUCAGUCACUCUAAAUGGAAAGCGCAUAAUCCGAAUGGGAUUUUCUAUCCGAAAUUUCGCUUACCAUUAGCACAAUUUCAAACCGGAUGGGUUUUCCAUGUAAAUGGUAAACAACC